CCUGACCCCUGGCGGGCACAGCGAGGGGCUCGGGAGGAGGGAGCCCGGGCUUGGGUCUUGCUGAGAUUCGGGAGAAGUUGCACUCCGGUCACCUCUGCGUGCAGGGCGCGAUGGUCAAGACGGGGAGGACUGGAGGAGGGGGUGACGUGCAGUUUAUGGAUGUUCCAGAUUCCUGAGUUGCCUCGGUCGCUAACUCAUCUGGUCGGAGCCGCUCCCUCGAGCGGCGCAGGCAGCGUGUUCGCGGUAUUUCUACAUACCUUGUCCGAGGGGGGAGGGGGAGACAGGUGCACAGGAAGCUGCGUGUUCUUACAAUCAUUGUUUUAAGGGUUGGGGUAGGGACCGAGGUUUAAAAACCGCGACCAGACACAGGUGUACUGGGGCCGCCGCUCCUCCGGCCGCUGCCUCUCCCUGGUUAGCCCGUAGCCGGCGCGGGGCCCUCCCCCUCCCCCGCCCCGCGCGCACCUGACCCCACUGAGGCCGCGGCCCGCGGGCCCCACGCCACCGCAGCCUUCCCUCGCUCUCUGGCUCCCCGCGGCUGACUCAGCCCUCGGACCCUGCACGGAUUGAACUUGGUGAGUUCGGUCCCUCCCGGGCUGCAGACGGUCCUAACAACAGGGUAUUUUGGGUAUUUGGUGGUUUCAGGCAGGAAUUGUAAAUCUCAUCCCUGUUAUUCCAUCUUAACUGGAAGUGGCAGAUGAGCAAACCAAGGUCUUUGACCCCGAAUCCCAUGCUCUUUCCUUAAGAAGCCUGAUGGAAGAGAAGGUCCCAUCUAGAGGUGAGCUAUCCAGGUCAUUGCCUUCAAGACACUCACCUCCCAGGGAAGAGACAAAUAAUGAUCCAAAAAAUAAGCAACGAAACCACAGAUACAUAAAGGAUGACAGUCUAGAGGCUUGAUUGGAUUCCGGUUAAAUAUUUUUGCCAAGAACACAUCAGAGAUGUUGUGAACUUCAUGUUGUAUCAUAACAGAAAGCACAUGCUGUCAGACUGCUCCACUUUCAGUGAUGUGAAGUUUGGUCUUUUGGCUAAGCUUUCUCUCCAAGCCAGGUUACAGGUUCCUUGAGUGCAGAGGCUGCAUCAUCUUUGUCGUGCGGCUCUCCAGACUGAGCACCUAAUGAGUGAAAGAUGCUCAGUAGGUGUUGGCGAUGGUCCUGGUGCUUCACCCGUACCUUUCAGCACAGUCGCAGCCCAGAAAAUAACUACAAGUGCAUUUAUUGCAUGCUGUUGAACAGCCCGAAAGGAUGAACAAGACAAGCUUUAACCAUAGUUAAUAUUUGAUGAUGACAAAAAUAACUGGUAUUUGGGGGAAAAAAUGAUUUGACUACCCUAUCAUUUAAGAAUCAUGAUCUAGGGGCACCUGGGUGGCUCAGUCGUUAAGCGUCUGCCUUCAGCUCAGGUCAUGAUCCCAGGGUCCUGGGAUCGAGCCCCGCAUUGGGCUCCCUCCUCCUCUAGGAGCCUGCC